AGUGAACGCUGGCGGUAGGCCUAACGCAUGCAAGUCGAACGGCAGCACAGUAAGAGCUUGCUCUUACGGGUGGCGAGUGGCGGACGGGUGAGGAAUACAUCGGAAUCUACUUUUUCGUGGGGGAUAACGUAGGGAAACUUACGCUAAUACCGCAUACGUCCUACGGGUGAAAGCAGGGGAUCUUCGGACCUUGCGCGAUUGAAUGAGCCGAUGUCGGAUUAGCUAGUUGGCGGGGUAAAGGCCCACCUAGGCGACGAUCCGUAGCUGGUCUGAGAGGAUGAUCAGCCACACUGGAACUGAGACACGGUCCAGACUCCUACGGGAGGCAGCAGUGGGGAAUAUUGGACGAUGGGCGCAAGCCUGAUCCAGCCAUACCGCGUGGGUGAAGAAGGCCUUCGGGUUGUAAAGCCCUUUUGUUGGGAAAGAAAAGCAGCAGGUUAAUACCCCGCUGUUCUGACGGUACCCAAAGAAUAAGCACCGGCUAACUUCGUG
rnacentral:rRNA from 1 species